rnacentral:antisense_RNA from 1 species
CUUCACGGAACCCAGCCACAGCGGGCGGUCAUCGGGCCGGUCCUGGCCGUACGUGGCCAGCAGCGCCUGCGCCUC